rnacentral:rRNA from 1 species
AUGAUCACCAGGGGUCAACCAUCGCAAAUGCCGCCAGGACAUCCCGCUAGACGCCGGGGAGGAGGACUUCGGAAAGGCUCCCCGGGCUUCCUCUCGCUGGAGGCAAAGCGCAGGCAGCUGCCGGCCCUGUUUCACUCUCUGCUGCAUCGUGUUCUGGCUGGCGGUGGUCGUCAUCGUUGUGGCCGUGCUCACCGUGUACCUCAUCUACCGCCCGCAGCCGCCGAAGCUCCGGUGACGGAUGCGUCCCUGAACGACGGGUACGGGGACGAGUUGCCGUCCCCAGCGGCCCGGCCCGCGGCCUCGCGCUCAACGCCGACCUCACCCCGCUGGUCGCCAUCACACAGCCUGUAUCGAUCAACGAUUCGUUGGCUUAUCCUGGUUGCGAAAGUUUGA